rnacentral:rRNA from 1 species
UGGGGGAUAUUGCACAAUGGGCGAAAGCCUGAUGCAGCGACGCCGCGUGGGGGAUGAAGGCCUUCGGGUUGUAAACUUCUUUUGCUCUGAACAAGGCAUGCUUUUGGGGUGUGUUGAGUGUAGGGGUUGAUUAGCGCCGGCUAACUACGUGCCAGCAGCCGCGGUAAUACGUAGGGCGCGAGCGUUGUCCGGAAUUAUUGGGCGUAAAGGGCUUGUAGGUGGCUGGUUGCGUCUGUCGUGAAAGCUCAUGGCUUAACUGUGGGUUUGCGGUGGGUACGGGCUGGCUUGAGUGCAGUAGGGGAGGCUGGAAUUCCUGGUGUAGCGGUGGAAUGCGCAGAUAUCAGGAGGAAUACCGGUGGCGAAGGCGGGUCUCUGGGCUGUUACUGACGCUGAGGAGCGAAAGCGUGGGGAGCGACCAGG